AGGUUAAAACACCUACCCUUUUCCUCCUGGGUGCACAAGAUCUUCGAGUUCCAGUUUCUAAUGGUUUACAGUAUGCAAGGGCCCUGAGAGAAAAAGGGGUCGAGCUCAAAGUGAUUGUGUUUCCUGAUGAUACCCAUGGAAUUGAAAGGCCACAAUCUGAUUUUGAAAGUUUUCUCAACAUUGGUGUCUGGUUUAAGAAGUACUGCAAAUAAAUCACCAGAAUCUGUAAUUAUCUCAAUCCAACAGUAUAUUGGCAUUUUGCCAGUCACAUUGGAGAACUUAGAAUUUAUCAUACUGUUUCUCUCUGUAUGUCAUCGUUGAUGACAUUUGUGAUACAAUUGAUGAUGAUAAAGUCAAACCAUGAUUCUGGAUAUUGUCUGCUUUCAAAAUAAUUCUUAUCUGUAUAGAAACACAUUUUGUCUACCA